AAUGAGUCCAUCCAUCUUCCAACGUUAAAACACGUGUCCCAUUAUUUUUUCGUCUGGGCUCCACUUUCUUCCUUCUUCGAUAUUCUUUUGCUCUGCCUUCUUCUCUCAUUCUCUGGAUUUACACCGUGUUUAUCCUAAGUGCUCUUUUUUUUUUCUUUUUUCUUUUUUCGAUUUCAUGUUAUUUUCUUAUAUUGCUUGAUGUAAUUUGAGUGUUUUGGUUUAAUUUUUUUACUGGUUUUUUAUGUUAAUUGUUGUUGAUGAAUAUUUGCCCUCUCUAUCACUUAUAUUCUCUUGCUCGAUUCUUAUUUUUCUGAUAUGGAACUGGCGAAGCACAAGGUCUUCGAGGGCACAAUAAUCUUUGUGCUAAGCAUUUCUAAUCAAUUGCCUCCAUAGCUCAGUGAGGGCGGGUUUUGUGAUUCGGCAAGGUGCGCAGGCAAGUUCUUCUGUUUUUUCCUGUGCUAUUCACUUUUUCAAAGAAUGAGUUCUAUAUUUUGCUGGGUGUAUAUUAGUGUAAUAUUCUUUUUGGUGAUUAUAGUUAGCUUUUCCAAUUUUUUUGGGUAAAUUUUUUUUUUUCCUAUUGCAUGUUAGGAAUUUUAUUUGAUUUGCUCAUGCAUGUUUGGAGACAUUUUGAAGAAUUUUUUAUUGUUGGCUAAAAAUCUUUUAUCCUCAUGGAUAUUGAACAAUUGCUGAUGUGACAAUAUGUUCGGUGAUAUGCCUGACCCGAAAAAGAAUUAGAGACAACAUGGCUAAUUAGGCUUAGUGGGGGAGAGAGUAUACAGAAGGAAACACUCCAAAAUUAUGGUAUUAUGAUGAAUAGCUAGCCAAGAAGGCUGAUAUGUCUUAAGGUAUGAGUUGGGAAUCAUCUCCUGACCCCUAUUUAAUGGGUUUGCUAAUAGCUGCUCAAGUUAAACUUCACUUUUGCACUCAACUAACUAUUUGCUUAAGCUAAAUUUGAUUGUGAAUUUUAGCCAAUCUCUUUGAACACAAACAUGGUGCUAGCACCUCCAAGGACACAAAUGGAGAUGGGACAAGCCUUAAAAGUAUUAGAAUUUUCUGUUGUUGUUCAAGUUUGUUUCAUGGCAUGCAAAAUUCCUGUUAUUUAUGAAAUGGUGGAUAUUAUUCGUUGUUGAUGUUCUUCCUACUAAAAGCUUUCCUCAUGAAAAUUGCAAGUUUUCACUUGUAGCAAGUAUACCAUAUAAUAUACUUGACCAAAGAUAAAAAGCGUAAAACAAAAAUAUCAGUCACAAUUUUGUCUGUCGUGAGUUGCCAGCUGUCUAUGGAUGUGUAGUGCGUUGUUUGUAGUUUUCUCUGUUCACUAAGGAGUAUUUAGGUUAUUUUAGACGAAGGGAAUAAUGAUGGUUCUCCUGGAUUACUGUGGUUAAUUUUGAUUGCAACUUUGGGAUGAUGGAGAGCCACAAGAUACAAGGGAGAAGCAUUUGGAAGAAAACUGCUCACACAUAUGGUUCUUUUACUGUAUAAGGUUUAUGGUAUUAUAUUUUUAUCGUUCUAUACACACACACACACACACACACACUAUAGCAUAGUUUAUAAACUGCUUUUUUCGAUGUCAAUCUUUACAACUUGAAUCAUUUAGUAAUUUCUUUUGCCUAUGUAUGUAGUGUGAAAGUUCAUUUCCUUCAUAAGUGUAUUUUGUCUAUUCACUGUGAUCCCCUGAAUUAAAUUUGGUGAUGCUACUUCUGCAAAACAACAUACACACGAUGGUGAACUUAUAGUUCUGGAGUGGAUUCAUGAGUACCAGACAUCUAUAAUCAUGCUUCGGUUCUUUCUUUCUUCUUUGAUUUUUUCGCUUUCUAUCCCUUUCGGGCUCGCCUUUUUCCUCUAAGACCAUACACAGAGAAUUUGGCAUAACUACUUAGAUUUCAAGCAUGGCUUUGGAGGAAAUUGAAUUUCUUUUUUUCUAUUUUUUUUAUCUAGAAAAUUUCAAGGUUUUCGUCUGUAAUAGUGUGAUUGUAUUCCUUAAAACAAUAAAAAAUUGAUCCCUAAUCCCAUAUAUAACGUUAUUGGAUUGAUGUUUGGGUGUAUUUGAGAUUUCAACUUAAGUCUUUAAAUCCAUAUUGGUAUUUCGAUCUGCGUUCUAUGUGUUCUGCGAUAUCGCUUGUCGUACACGAAAACAUAUCUUACUUUUUAACUGCUCAAAAAGGUGUCAAUGAAGAUUUUCUAACUGAACUGUACAACAGUUGUCUAAUGUUAUGCAUGCGAAUUUGGAUUUUUUUCCUGCGGUUAUUUUGGAAUAAAGUUGAUUAGAUAAUUUCUUUCAUGUUUCUGUGAAUUGAUUGGAAUUGUACUGAACUAGAUUUAUUCUGUUAAUUUGUCUAUAUUUUUUGCAUUUGUGUGUUCCCAUAUCUCAUGUUUUGAAGGUUGAAUUUAAUUGAACUUUGCAGGUGUGCAUUUUAUAUUUGGUCCGUCGAGCACUUAACACUGUUCGUAAGCUCAGUUACUGUUUAAUCUUUUGUGUAGGAUAGUUUCUACCAUAGAAAUUCUGAGAGAUAUGAAGUUCGAAACAAGAUGGCUAGUCAGAUUAUUGGUCAACAUUAUAGAUUAACAGUCAAGUAUAGUCAUAGAAUAUAACGGAUUUGGAUCUUGUGUGUGCAAAUUUUUGUGUGAUUAUUGUAGCACAUCAUUGUUUAUUUUUCAAAGAGUGAGUUAAAUUGUUGUCUAAUUAUUCCUGCUUAUCUUCUUUUGCUUCUCGCAAGAGCACAAAGAAAAGGAGAGGGCAAAUUUAUGCAGUGAAAACUUCAGUUGCUCAUUAAUUGAUAUUUCGUUUCCAUGAUUCUGAGCUGCCUGACCAGCUUUCGAUGAAACUCUUAUUUAAAUUUUCACUAGCUUUAUAUUUCUUAAAUUAAUUACUAUAAGAAGUCUUACAACCUUUUAUUAAUUUGUAUUAUUCUGGACAUUAGUAAGGUAGUUUUAGCUUGUAAAUUGAUUGAACUAGGGUUGCUUAAAUCUGUUCCCAGAGACGAGGACAUUUUGACAGAUGAUCGGGAGGAGGUGCAAUGUUGAAGGGAUUCAUUUAGUGAAGCAGGCAAAAUAGUAUAAUAUAAUUUGCCAAGGGGUCACAAUGGAAACAAGAAGUCUUAUACAUAUAUGUAGAAACGCUAUCUGGCACUGUGUUGGAGCUCACUUUCGUGGUAUUAAAGUAUCUUGUUCUAGAAGUUGUUGUAAGGAGAAAAGGGUGUUUGUCAUUUUUAAGUUUUUGCUUCUCUCGCUGCAUCUGUUAUGUACCUUCUAAGCAUCCGAAUCUUGACCUUUUGUUGUUUUAGUUCUUUGGAAAUGUUUGUGAACUCAAAUGUUUUCUCUUCUGCUUGUAACAAGAUUGUCAGUAUGAUGAGCUAGCUGUGAAACUGAAUCCAAUUAUUUUACCUUUGAUGGCUUCGAUUAAGAGAAACCAGAUAAGUGUCCAAUGUUUGAAUUUUUUUUAAUUGGACAUAAAUGCUACACAAGUAUAACUAUGCGUUUCUUUCUGUUGCAUGCAUUAUCAUUCAUAUUUUAUGAUGAGCUUUAUGGGUGAUAUUCUAUGGAGUUCGUUGUCAUUUACCGGUCACAUAUAUUAAUUUGGUGCCCAUUCUUACUCAGUUCUUAUAUGUGCAGGAUGAUGACCUAACAAUAUUAGAUGUUCGCAAGUUUAAGCCUAUUCAUAACUACAACUGAAAUACGUGUUGUCAACCGGAGCGGCUAAAAUCCAGAUUUCAUGCAAUUGUAACAUAGUUCAUACAUAAGAUGGUGGACCACCUACAUGAUCAUGAACAAUCUCACUGUUUUUGUCUUUGUAGCAAGUUCAACAAUGUACUUGUAUAACUUUGUUCCCCAAAUGAAUGUACAUAGUAUGAAGCAUAUCAUGUUAAUAUUUUGUUUAAUGACAUUUCUUCAUUUGGAUAAUUUCACUACACAA